rnacentral:rRNA from 1 species
GCUAAUCUUAACAGCUAGCCCCUCCCCUCCAAAAUACUAAUCAAUAUUAUUAAAACCCAAAAUCCUAUAACACAAACAACUAAACCAUUUUUAAUCCUCAGUAUGGGAGACAAAAAAGGAAAUUACGGGCGCUAUAGAAAAAGUACCGCAAGGGAAAGCUGAAAGAGAAAUGAAACAACUCAGUAAAGACCAAAAAAGCAGAGAUUAAGCCUUGUACCUUUUGCAUCAUGAAUCAGCCAGAAAUAUUCAAGCAAAAUGACUUUUAGUUUGAAACCCCGAAACUAAGUGAGCUACUUCAAGACAGCCUUUAAUAGGGCAAACCCGUCUCUGUUGCAAAAGAGUGGAAAGAUCUUCAAGUAGAAGUGAUAGACCUAUCGAACUUAGCUAUAGCUGGUUGCCUAUAAAAUGAAUAGAAGUUCAGCCUUUAACUUUCUCCAUGCACCCAAGAUACUCUUAAAAGUGCUUACGAGAAAAACCUAAAGAGUUAUUCAAGGGAGGAACAGCCCCCUUGAUAAAAGACACAACUUUUACAGAAGGCUAACGACCAAGACCACUUAAAAUCUAUUUGAUGUUGGCCUGAAAGCAGCCACCUAAAUAGAAAGCGUUAAAGCUCAAAUUUUCUCCAAAAACAAAUUUUAAUACUCUUAUCUUAUGCCUCUAAUUUAACAAUAGGCCUUUUCAUACAAUUAUGAAAGAGACACUACUGAUAUGAGUAAUAAGAGGGCCACAGGGCCCUCUCCUAAAACAUCUGUGUACAUCAGAACGAACCCCCACCGAAAAUUAACGUGCCCAACCAAAGAGGGAACUGAAGCACCUUUAAAGACUAACUGGAAAACCCCCCAAAAUACAACACGUUGACCCUACACAGGUAUGUUCAAGGAAAGACUAAAAGAAAAAGAAGGAACUCGGCAAAUACUGGCUUCGCCUGUUUACCAAAAACAUCGCCUCUUGCAUAACCCUGUAUAAGAGGUCCCGCCUGCCCUGUGACACUUGUUUAACGGCCGCAGUAUUUUGACUGCGCGAAGGUAGCGUAAUCACUUGUUUUUUAAAUGGAGACCUGUAUGAAUGGCAUAACGAGAGCCAAACUGUCUCCUUUUUCCAGUCAAUGAAAUUGAUCUUCCCGUGCAGAAGCGGGAAUAACACCAUAAGACGAGAAGACCCUGUGGAGCUUAAAACACAAAGCUAGCUCAUUUUAAACACCUAGAUUACACAGGACUAACAAAAAUGACCAUCUAGCCCUUGUUUUUGGUUGGGGCGACCAUGGAACACCAAAAAACCUCCAUGCAGAACGGGACAACAUUUCCCCUCAAAGCCAGAGCUACCCCUCUAACUAGCAGUACAUCUGACUACAAGAUCCGGUAACACCGAUUAACGAACCAAGUUACCCCAGGGAUAACAGCGCAAUCCCCUUUCAGAGUCCAUAUCGACAAGGGGGUUUACGACCUCGAUGUUGGAUCAGGACAUCCUAAUGGUGCAGCCGCUAUUAAGGGUUC